rnacentral:lncRNA from 1 species
GAUUUCGUUAAAUUUUGUUAAUUACAGUUUUUGAGCGGCAAGUGGUAAACGCACAAAAUGUUCAGUUUGUACAGAUUAUUCGUGGUCAUUCUCUCCAUGUUGGUGAUAUUCUCCAUGUUCAACCAAGGAGGAGCCCAGCCGAUCGAAGAUUUGGCACCAAAACAUGCUGGUCCCAAGCAAGUGGGCAGCGAACAUCUUGGACCCAGCAGGAACCAACAUGCAGGCCCAGCUGGAGGACCACCAAUAGGCUCGGUUAAACCGGAAGACAUUGUCUUGUAUUGAGGCGCUCUUUGCUGGAUAAUUUUUAAAAUUAUAAAUUGUGAAAUUGCGAAUAUGUAGAACAGGAAAAUGGA